rnacentral:rRNA from 1 species
UACGUAGGGUCCGAGCGUUGUCCGGAAUUAUUGGGCGUAAAGAGCUCGUAGGCGGUUUGUCGCGUCUGCUGUGAAAACUCGGGGCUUAACCCCGGGCUCGUGAGUGGGUACGGGCAGACUAGAGUGCGGUAGGGGAGACUGGAAUUCCUGGUGUAGCGGUGAAAUGCGCAGAUAUCAGGAGGAACACCGGUGGCGAAGGCGGGUCUCUGGGCCGUAACUGACGCUGAGGAGCGAAAGCGUGGGGAGCGAACAGG